rnacentral:rRNA from 1 species
GCACAACGCGAAGAACCUUACCAAGGCUUGACAUACACGAGAACACCGUAGAAAUACGGGACUCUUUGGACACUCGUGAACAGGUGGUGCAUGGUUGUCGUCAGCUCGUGUCGUGAGAUGUUCGGGUUAAGUCCCGCAACGAGCGCAACCCUCGUUCUAUGUUGCCAGCACGUAGUGGUGGGAACUCAUGGGAUACUGCCCGGGGUCAACUCGGAGGAAGGUCGGGGAUGACGUCAAAUCAUCAUGCCCCUUAUGUCUUGGGCUUCACGCAUGCUACAACGGCCGGUACAAAGGGCUGCAAUACCGCGAGGUGGAGCGAAUCCCAAAAAGCCGGUCCCAGUUCGGAUUGAGGUCUGCAACUCGACCUCAUGAAGUCGGAGUCGCUAGUAAUCGCAGAUCAGCAACGCUGCGGUGAAUACGUUCCCGGGUCUUGUACACACCG